AGAGUCAAUGUGGAGGCUAUAUACAGGGUGUUACGGUACAGAGUCAAUGUGGAGGCUAUAUACAGGGUAUUACGGUACAGAGUCAAUGUGGAGGCUAUAUACAGGGGGGUACUGGUACAGAGUCAAUGUGGAGGCUAUAUACAGGGUGUUACGGUACAGAGUCAAUGUGGAGACUAUAUACAGGGUGUUACAGUACAGAGUCAAUGUGGAGGCUAUAUACAGGGUGUUACGGUACAGAGUCAAUGUGGAGGCUAUAUACAGGGGGUACCGGUACAGAGUCAAUGUGGAGGCUAUAUACAGGGUGUUACGGUACAGAGUCAAUGUGGAGGCUAUAUACAGGGGGUACCGGUACAGAGUCAAUGUGGAGGCUAUAUACAGGGUGUUACGGUACAGAGUCAGUGUGGAGGCUAUAUACAGGGGGUACCGGUACAGAGUCAGUGUGGAGGCUAUAUACAGGGUGUUACGGUACAGAGUCAAUGUGGAGGCUAUAUACAGGGUGUUACGGUACAGAGUCAAUGUGGAGGCUAUAUACAGGGUGUUACGGUACAGAGUCAAUGUGGAGGCUAUAUACAGGGGGUACCGGUACAGAGUCAAUGUGGAGGCUAUAUACAGGGGGUACCGGUACAGAGUCAAUGUGGAGGCUAUAUACAAGGGGUACCGGUACAGAGUCAAUGUGGAGGCUAUAUACAGGGUGUUACGGUACAGAGUCAAUGUGGAGGCUAUAUACAGGGGGUACCGGUACAGAGUCAAUGUGGAGACUAUAUACAGGGUGUUACGGUACAGAGUCAAUGUG
rnacentral:lncRNA from 1 species